rnacentral:rRNA from 1 species
AACGAACGCUGGCGGCAGGCCUAACACAUGCAAGUCGAGCGAGGACUUCGGUCCUAGCGGCGGACGGGUGAGUAACGCGUGGGAACGUGCCCUUUGCUACGGAAUAGCCCCGGGAAACUGGGAGUAAUACCGUAUGUGCCCGAGAGGGGAAAGAUUUAUCGGCAAAGGAUCGGCCCGCGUUGGAUUAGGUAGUUGGUGGGGUAAUGGCCUACCAAGCCGACGAUCCAUAGCUGGUUUGAGAGGAUGAUCAGCCACACUGGGACUGAGACACGGCCCAGACUCCUACGGGAGGCAGCAGUGGGGAAUCUUAGACAAUGGGCGCAAGCCUGAUCUAGCCAUGCCGCGUGAGCGAUGAAGGCCUUAGGGUUGUAAAGCUCUUUCAGUGGGGAAGAUAAUGACGGUACCCACAGAAGAAGCCCCGGCUAACUCCGUGCCAGCAGCCGCCGUAAGAC